AUUGAACGCUGGCGGAAUGCUUUACACAUGCAAGUCGAGCGGCAGCGCGGGGCAACCUGGCGGCGAGCGGCGAACGGGUGAGUAAUGCAUCGGAAUGUACCCAGUCGUGGGGGAUAACACAGCGAAAGUUGUGCUAAUACCGCAUACGUCCUGAGGGAGAAAGCGGGGGAUCGCAAGACCUCGCGCGAUUGGAGCAGCCGAUGUCAGAUUAGCUAGUUGGUGAGGUAAAGGCUCACCAAGGCGACGAUCUGUAGCGGGUCUGAGAGGACGACCCGCCACACUGGAACUGAGACACGGUCCAGACUCCUACGGGAGGCAGCAGUGGGGAAUUUUGGACAAUGGGCGAAAGCCUGAUCCAGCCAUUCCGCGUGAGUGAAGAAGGCCUUCGGGUUGUAAAGCUCUUUCGGCAGGAACGAAACGGUCGUCUCUAACAUAGAUGGCUAAUUACGGUACCUGAAGAAGAAGCACCGGCUAACUACGUGCCAGCAGCCGCCGUAA
rnacentral:rRNA from 1 species